AAACAUCAAUGAGCAUGAACUAAGGAGCUGGGGAAGAAAAUUGACUGAACUUCCUUAAGUUUUUUGAAAUGGUUUCAACCCUCAUUUGAGGAGUGUCUUUAGUUUUAAGACCAAAUGGCAGAGAUUCCCAGGAAUUUAAAGAAGUCCAAUUGCUUUCUUUUCCAAGCUCCUUAGAUUACUAUGACCUGGAUGAAUGAGAACCUACACAUACAUAUUUCCUUGCACUUUGGGAGGAACAUUCUUGAACUGCUGUGAUAUGAAAGGGAAUCAAGAAAACUAGCAGAAUAUGGAAACCACCUUCCCUUUAACCUAAGACGCAGACAAAGCAGACUUGUUUCCAAGAGUUUGCGCAAUGGAUCCACGGUCAGGGAACAUAGAGGGAAGCUGAUUCUGCAGAGAGCACAAAACCGGCUUUGAAGUGAAAGGAUAAGACACGUGCAUCUCAAUAUAAAUGCGCUGUGGAAUACGAUCAAUCAGACUCUGCAGGAACUCAAAACACUUCUAACCUCUGCUACUUUUGAAGAAGUUUCUGAGUUUGUGGACAAGGCUCAGCUCGUCCAAGACAAAAAAGAAAAGAAAGACAACUUCAUUUAUUUAUGAUUUAUAAUUCAGAGUUGAUACCUAGACCAUAAAGACAAGAACAGGAAGACACCACAACCAAAGACAGUCAGGAAAAGUGGGUGAUCAAUUUAUCAGACAGGAAUCUCACUGAACCUGAAAAGAAGGCACUAGCCAAAGGACCCAAACUGCUCUCAGUGUCAAAAGACUCCACCUCCAACCUAAAGAAACAUCUGAAAAUAUCCUCCAAUCCAUCAGCGACCACUAGUUGUCCGUGUGAGAUGGAUUUUGUGAGCAGUGACACCAAAGGUGCUGGAGAAGAUUGCAAAUGGACAAAAACUCUGUAAUGGCAAAAAUAAAAUGACAUUGCUUCUGAUGCACUAAGUGACCAAUAGUGCCAUUAAUCUUGACCACACACAUAGGGACUUCCUUGUCAUUGCAUUGCUUUUCUAGUGGAUCUUUAAAU
rnacentral:lncRNA from 1 species